GGCUCGUUGGUCAAGAGGCUAAGACGUCGCCCUCUCACGGCGAAAACACGGGUUCGAUUCCGAUACGAGCUA
rfam:Lachnospiraceae bacterium strain KH1P17 genome assembly, contig: Ga0059119_103